CCUACGGGAGGCAGCAGUGAGGAAUAUUGGUCAAUGGCCGUAAGGCUGAACCAGCCAAGUCGCGUGAAGGAAGAAGGAUCUAUGGUUUGUAAACUUCUUUUAUAGGGGAAUAAAGGUAUCCACGUGUGGAUAUUUGCAUGUACCCUAUGAAUAAGCAUCGGCUAACUCCGUGCCAGCAGCCGCGGUAAUACGGAGGAUGCGAGCGUUAUCCGGAUUUAUUGGGUUUAACGGGUGCGCAGGCGGCGUGUCAAGUCAGCGGUAAAAUGUCGGGGCUCAACCCCGGCCGGCCGUUGAAACUGGCGUGCGCGAGGUGGAGAGAAGUAUGCGGAAUUCAUGGUGUAGCGGUGAAAUGCAUAGAUAUCACGAAGAACCCCGAUUGCGAAGGCAGCAUACCGGCUCCACACUGACGCUGAGGCACGAAAGCGUGGGUAUCGAACAGGAUUAGAUACCCGUGUAGUC
rnacentral:rRNA from 1 species